rnacentral:lncRNA from 1 species
CCAACGACAAAUUUAUUAUGAUUUGUAAACUUCUUAUUUGCAAUAGCAUGUGUUUCAAUUGCACUAAUAUAAGUGUAGUACAAAUCAUAUGAUAAGGCAUAUUUAACGCGGUUAUAUUAAUAACCGACUUAAAACAUACUACAAUAACAUAACAUACGAUGCGUUUGUGUAAGGCAUAUUUAUUGCAACUUUUUAGCUUCCACCUUUGUUAACUAUUCUAUUAUAAAUCUUUCGUAUUCUCUAACAAUAUUUUUAACUGCAUUUUGCUCCAUUCACGCUCAUUGCCCAACUCAGUUUUUAUCGUCGUCAAUCAGUUUCAUCGCCACCUUUUUCACAAUCGUUCACGCCACCUUUUUCACAAUCGCCAAACAGCUUCAUCGCCACCAUUUCAGGUAUGGUUGUUCAGGUUAUUGAAUAAUAAAUUUACAUGAGUAAUUUUUUACAAUUUUCUACCCUUCUAUUGUUUAAUAUAAUGAGACGUUAAUAAAAUGAUUAAUAUAUGUGUUCAUAAUUUUAUUUAGAUAAUAUCAUAUUAUUUGAAUGAAAUUCAUUUUUACGUUACUUAUACGUCAAAUUCAUUUUUUUUUCUAACUAUUAUUUAUUUUACGUUACUUAUUUUUAACGAAUGAUUAUGGAUCGUAGUUUGAUGAAUACUAAUUAUUUGAGUAAAUGUAUAGGUGUGAAUAAAUUUUUACAAUUUACUUAAAAAAAAUUUCAUAAAAACCAAAGAAAAUUUUAUUUGUUGUUAAUUUUUAAAUGGAACCCGGUUACAUUUUGAAAAAUAUAAGAAAUCAUUAUGGAAUUUGUCAUAGUAAUAAAAACAGAUAGGGUAUGAUGAUUUGUUAAACAUGACAAAUUUAUGAGUGUGACUACUAUGUCAUGUUACAUAUGUUGAACAUCUUAACAUAGUUGUUUCAUGGAUGCAAAUAUAUAAUUUUUUAUACGUUGUUAUUGAUUGUAUUUUUUUAUAUUUGUAUGAUAAAAAAUUAUAAGUUGUUAUUGAUUGUAUUUUUUAAUGUUCAUAUGAUAAAAAAUUAAGAUUCAACCGAUAUUGAUUAUGUGUUUCUUUUUUUCCAGAUCUUUGAUGACUCGAGAUCAAUUCACCCGGAUCAAAGUAAAGAAGUUCAAAAAUAUUGUGUAAUUUUAUUUUGAAAUUAAUUGAAGAAAAUAAUGAUACUAAUAUAUGUCUAUUGAAUAUUGCUAUAUUGUGAUUUUGUAAUUUUGUUAAUGGAUAUCUAAUUUUUUGUUUCCGUGUUGUCAAGAUUAGUCGGAAAUGAGAUACAUGUACUCUUAUAUUUUUUUGUAUAAAUAUCAGAUAUUUUGAUUAUUAGAUGGUUAUAUAAAAUUGUGAUUGUUAGUGCAAAAUUCUUAUUUGAAAUUUAAUACGAAAAAUUGUAUGGAUUAGGAACAUGAACACAAAAUGAGAAAUUUAUAAAAAAAAAAUUAUUAUUAUUUUAACUAUAUAUCUAUUAAGUCGGUUGAUCAAAAUAUCCAACUUAAAAAGAUGAUGUGUUAUAUUGAAUUUAUGAUGUUUAAGUCGGUUAAUCUGAAUCGACUUAAUAUGAUGACGCUCUGUUAAGUCGGUUCAUGAAACGAGUUAAAAAACAACAUGUUUUUUAAGUCGUUUGCUGUUAACUCGGGCACGGAACCGACUUAAAAUGUACAUUUUAACCGACUUAAAAAGACAAAAUUCUACUAGUGCUACUAUAUGAAUUAUCAUAACGACCACAUUGGUUUAUACAAAACAAGUACUAUGGACCAUUCACGUUUAGAAUAAAGCUCAAUUGAUAAAAAUAAAUUCUAUAUAUCCAAUCAUAAAUAUUUUUUUAAAACAAUAAUACGAAUUCAUAUCCAUCAAGAAUAUUUUAAAAAUUUAAGAUAAUUAGAUUAAAAAAAUUUCAAAAAUAUACCACUACACAUAAGCCACAACUAUAAUUGAGGAGAUAUAUUUAUAUUUAUCUUGAUUUAAUAUCAUAUUUAUUAUAUAAUUUAUUUAUUUUUUGUUGUUAUUUUUCCAUAUAACAUACAAACUCAUUGUUAUUUCAUACAUGCUAAAAUAUUGAGGUAAAAUAAAAAGAGAAAGUUAGAACAUAAUUUAGUACUUUAGAAACUUACCAUACCAUCAAUUCUUUUUAUUCUUUCUUCUCGUGAAAUGACAUCUUUGUAUUCCAUGUCUCCUUAAAGUAUAUUCCUUGUGAUGCCAUUAUUAACAAUAGAAAAGACCAUACCAAAUCACAUUCACUUAUAAUUCAUCAAUACCCAUUAAUGAUAAUCUUUUAGAUUUUAAUUGUGGUCUCAAUUUGUAGUUUUUGAUGAACUCAACCACAAAUUUUUAUAAAUCAUGACAAGGGAAAAUCACACAUUUUGCAAUCUUAAAAUGAUGAUUGAUAUCAAAUUAUUUGUUCUUGAAGAACUAUACCACAAAUACAAAUGAUACUUAAGAAUAUUUCUUUGAGCAAUCCUUUAGGGAUGUUUUAACUUUAACCCUUUAAUUCUUCAAGAACUAUAUCACAAAUGAUUUUCAUAAAUAAUGAUCUUAGAAAAUUAAACUUUUGCAAUUCUUUAGGAAUAUGCUUUAAUGUUAACUUUAUGGAAUUUUACAAGAAUAAAUAAAGAAAAAUAUGACAAUUAUACACGACAAACUUUCUCAACAAAACCUAUAGGCAAAAAUAAAAGUUAGAAGACAUGAAAUAAAAGAAAUAAAACUUUAAAAAAAGAAUAUAAUCAUAAGAAGAUGUAGAUAAUAAUAAGAACAAAUAUUAUUGAAAUAAAACCUCCCAAGUUAAUUAGGUUAUUACUCGUACGCUGAUAACGUGUUAUGAAAUUAAUGAAAAAGAAAAACAAGAUUUAGAAAAAGAGAAAGACAAAACAAUAUAAUUUAUAUAUUGUGUUCUUCAAAAUGUGAACUUUACAAUUUUACAUGACAUUUAUUUAUAAGUGACAAAUUAUUUAACUUACAAGGAACUUAAGAAUCUAACACGCAUACUAAAUAUAAAAGUUAUUUAAUUAUAGGAGUUAUAGACCAACUAUAUAAUAU